CUUUUAUCGGAGUACCUAGGAUGGAAAUUAACUUUCCCAUUGUCAUGGCACUGUCUAUCAGUAUCAAGGUGUCGCCAUGCCUCAUCUCCCACAAAAGGGACCAUGCAUGUGUGUCGCUUCAGGAAUCAUAGAAAAAAUAAACGAGAAUAUUAUGUUGUAGUUUUCCUAUAUCCCUAAUGACUUCUCUUGGUGUGCAUAUGGAUGAACUAAUAGGUACUCACUGUAUUUCUGAUUCCACUUAUGUGUGUUUGAUACAGAAAGGCUAAGUAAGUUACAACUCUAAAGGCAAACAGUUAUUUUAUAUUAUUGUUCCAAAUCUCAAUGUUUAACUCAUAAUUCUGAAAUUAAAUAUUAAAAAUUCUUUCCAUUUUAUAAAUCAAAUAACUUCCAUACGUACACUCCAUUGAAUUCAGAGGGAUGCUAAGGUAGCAACGAUGCACCAACUUCCAGCAAUCCAGGGAACAAGCGGUUGCUCGACGAACUCCAAGUGGUGGUGAAAGGAGGAGCUUGCUUCCUGAAUGUGGGGUCAUAUUACACAGUCAUCUAUGGCUUCUAUGAGGAAGUGAAGUACAUAAGGCAUGUAGUCACAAGACAAAUGUUAUGCUUAGUGUAUUGACAUAAAACUCCAUUAUUGUUGUGUUGUGCAAAGCCAGGGUAAUGGACAAGACAUAGUUGUUUGACCGGAUAACAUCAUAGUGACAAGACAUAGUUGUUUGACCGGAUAAAGUCAUAUAGUGGCAUGAUCCAUGGAUAUUCCACCUCCAUACGGGUAAAUUGUGUAAUGACAAAUCGUAGGCUCAUUAUAUUGAUAUGAAGAUUCAAGUCAAAUGUCCAAUUCAUCUGUAUAAUGGCUUAGGAAAAUUAGCCUAGCCAACAUAUAUGGAUUGCAGGAUUAGCAUGGAAUAUCUCGAUGCUUUCAGCAUUGUUUAAGUACACCAACAUGCAGGGAGUUCAUACCAUCAACAUCACAAGGGAAAGAUUUAAAUGCAAUUUGAAAUCGAUAAACUAACAGAGUUGUUGUAGGCUUGGGCUAGAAGAAGUAAAAAAUGAAACUUAAACAGCUUGGUGCGGGAAGCUACAUUAGAAUUGAACUGCAAAAUGUUGCGUCGUUGAUACUAAAUUUAUUUAGGAAAUACAAGAUGUUAAUGGUGAGGAAUAAGUCCCGAAAGAUGGUAUUUCAGUGAAAGAUCUCAAAUCUGGUAUUACAGAACUGAAGACUAUACUUGAAAGUUUUGAGAAGAACCUACCGAACUGAAGAAAACAAAAUCGCUCCAAAUCGCUCUCCUUAAAUAGUCUUUAUU